rnacentral:rRNA from 1 species
UGGCGGACGGGUGAGUAACGCGUAGGUAUCUAUCCUUGGGUGGGGGGACAACCGUGGGAAACUACGGCUAAUACCGCAUGAUAACUGAGGUUUAAAGGCAUCCGGGGUUGCUCGGGGGUUGCCUGGGGAGGAGCCUGCGUACGAUUAGCUUGUUGGUGGGGUAAAGGCCUACCAAGGCUGCGAUCGUUAGCUGGUCUGAGAGGAUGAUCAGCCACAUUGGGACUGAGACACGGCCCAA